UACGUAGGGUGCAAGCGUUUAAUCGGAAUUACUGGGCGUAAAGCGUGCGCAGGCGGUGAUGUAAGACAGUUGUGAAAUCCCCGGGCUCAACCUGGGAACUGCAUCUGUGACUGCAUCGCUGGAGUGCGGCAGAGGGGGAUGGAAUUCCGCGUGUAGCAGUGAAAUGCGUAGAUAUGCGGAGGAACACCGAUGGCGAAGGCAAUCCCCGUGGGCCUGCACUGACGCUC
rnacentral:rRNA from 1 species